UACAGAGGGUGCAAGCGUUGUUCGGAAUUACUGGGCGUAAAGCGCGCGCAGGCGGCCAUUCAAGUCAGGGGUGAAAGCCCAGAGCUCAACUCUGGAACUGCCCUUGAAACUGUAUGGCUUGAGUAUGAGAGAGGUGAGUGGAAUUCCCAGUGUAGAGGUGAAAUUCGUAGAUAUUGGGAAGAACACCGGUGGCGAAGGCGGCUCACUGGCUCAUUACUGACGCUCAGGCGCGACAGCGUGGGGAUCAAACAGG
rnacentral:rRNA from 1 species